AUACGUAGGGUGCAAGCGUUAAUCGGAAUUACUGGGCGUAAAGCGUGCGCAGGCGGUUUUGUAUGACAGUGGAGAAAUCCCCGGGCUCAACCUGGGGACUGCCCUUGUGUAUUCAAAGAUGGAGGGCGGACGAGGGGGAUGGAAUUCCGCGUGGAGCAGUGAAAUGCGUUGAUAUGCGGAGGAACCCCGAUGGCGAAGGCAAUCCCCUGGGCCUGCACUGACGCUCAUGCACGAAAGCGUGGGGAGCAAACAGGAUUAGAUACCCUGGUAGUCCACGCCCUAACCGAUGUCAACUGGUUGUUGGGGAUUUAUUUUCACAGUAACGAAGCUAACUCGUGAAGUUGACCGCCUGGGGAGUACGGCCGCAAG
rnacentral:rRNA from 1 species